AUCAGUGGAUCCGGGGAGAAGACCGUGACCGGAAACGGAGCGUGACCCCCCGGGUAGACCUCCACCCGUGCCUAUCUACUCUUGUUGCUUUGGCGGGCCGUGGCCUCCACUACGGGCUCUGCUCGUACGUGCCCGCCAGAGGACCAAACUCUGAAUGUUAGUGAUGUCUGAGUACUAUCUAAUAGUUA
rnacentral:misc_RNA from 1 species